rnacentral:lncRNA from 1 species
AAGGCAAUGGCCUGCCUGGGCAUCGCUGCCCUCCUGCUCCUGCUGCAGCUGGCCAGGGGCGGAGACUUCCCUUUCAGGGACCCCACAUUGCCCUGGGAAGAGCGGCUGGAUGACCUGGUGAACAGGCUGACGCUGGACGAGAUGGUCCUGCAGAUGGCGAGAGGAGGGGCGAAGGGGAACGGCCCAGCGCCGCCCAUCGCACGCCUGGGCAUUGGGCCCUACAACUGGAACACAGAGUGUCUGCGCGGGGAUGCGCUGGCGCCGGGCUGGGCCACCGCGUUCCCCCAGGCCCUGGGCCUGGCUGCCUCCUUCAGCCCUGCACUGGUCCACCGCGUGGCCAACGCCACGGCCACCGAGGUUCGAGCCAAACACAACCAUUUUAUCUCCCUCGGUUACUACGGCGACCACACUGGCCUGAGCUGCUUCAGUCCUGUGCUAAACAUCAUGAGGCAUCCACUCUGGGGCAGGAACCAGGAGACGUACGGGGAGGACCCCUUCCUGACCGGAGAGCUGGCUGUGGCGUUUGUGACGGGGCUGCAGGGGGACCACCCCCGGUACGUCAAGGCCAGUGCUGGCUGCAAGCACUUCGAUGCCCAUGGGGGACCGGAGAAUAUUCCCUCGUCCCGGCUGUCGUUUAAUGCCAAGGUGGAGGAGCGCGACUGGCGCAUGACCUUUCUGCCCCAGUUCGAAGCUUGCGUCCGAGCAGGAACCCUCAGCUUCAUGUGCAGCUACAACAGGAUUAAUGGCGUUCCUGCCUGUGCUNACAAGCGGCUCCUGACGGACAUCCUGCGCGGGGAGUGGGGCUUCCGGGGCUACGUGGUGAGCGACGAGGGGGCCCUGGAGCUCAUCAUGGUGGCGCACGAGUUCACCCGCAGCUUCCUUGAGACGGCGAUAGUGUCUAUGAAUGCUGGAUGCAACCUUGAACUCUCCUAUGGGAUGAGGAUGAAUGUUUUCACACUUGUAGGUGAUGCAGUUGCCAAGGGCAACAUCACCCUGGAAACAGUGAAGGCCCGGAUCCGUCCUCUUUUCUACACCCGCCUGCGCCUGGGUGAGUUUGACCCUCCAGCCAUGAACCCCUACAACGCGCUGGGGCUCGGCGACGUGCAGACCGAGGCCCACCGCCAACUGGCCCUCGAAGCCGCCNUCCAGUCCUUUGUCCUGCUGAAGAACCAGCGCGGGACGCUGCCCCUCCAGGCCCAGGAAGUAGCGGCCAAGACUGUUGCCGUGGUCGGGCCCUUUGCUGACAGCCCAGAGCUUCUCUUNGGGGACUACGCUCCAGUUCCAGAACCCCGAUACGUCUAUACCCCCAGGAGGGGACUGGCAGCCAUCUCGGCAAACGUCACUUUUGGUGCUGGAUGUCAGUCUCCCAGCUGUAAGCAGUAUUUCCCUGGCGACGUGAAGGCGGCCGUACAAGCAGCAGACAUUGUGCUUGUGUGUCUGGGCACAGGAACUGACCUGGAGAUGGAGUCCCGUGACCGAGAGAACUUGGGCUUGCCCGGGCGCCAGCUGGAACUUCUGCAGGACUCGGUGACCUGGGCUGCCGGGCGCCCAGUGAUCCUGCUCCUGUUCAACGCUGGCCCGCUUGACGUCAGCUGGGCUAAGGCCGAGGACGGGGUGGGAGCCAUCGUGGCCUGUUUCUUCCCAGCCCAGGCCACUGGCCUGGCCAUUGCCAAGGUCCUGGUGGGAGCUGAGGGUGCCAAUCCGNCCGGCAGGCUUCCUGCCACGUGGCCUGCAGGUAUGGACCAGGUACCNCCCAUGGAGAACUACACAAUGGUUGGGCGGACGUACCGCUACUACGGAGAUGAGGCACCACUGUACCCCUUUGGCUACGGGCUGUCGUUCACUGCCUUCCGAUACAGCGACCUGGUACUGGGCACGAACGCCGUCCCCAUUUGCAGUAACCUCAGCAUCUCCGUGGUGGUGGAGAACGUUGGCUCCAGGGAUGGGGAAGAGGUGGUCCAGCUUUACCUCCGAUGGGGACAGGCUUCUGUGCCAGUGCCCCGCUGGCAGCUUGUCGGCUUCCGCCGGGUGCCAGUACCCGCGGGACGUUCCGUGAAGGUGCCCUUCCAGCUAGCGUUCAGCCAGAGAGCAGUGUGGGCCACGGAAUGGAGCCUGGAGCCGGGCGUCUUCACCCUGUUCGUUGGCGGCCAGCAACCCUUCCAAGAAACCCGCGCCCCUUCUAAUGUCCUCCAGGCCGAUUUUGUUGUCUCUGGGGCUGCCCGGAGCGUCAGCCAAUGCUAGCCGCUGAGGCCGAUGGGAAGGUCUCUGAAAAGCAACGGGAUUGCUCAUCGGGCAGGAAGUGAAUGCCAACAAGAGUUUUUGUGCGACGUCGUGCCGUGCAGGUCAGAGACUCUGAUAUAGCCUGUCUUCUUCCGAACCGUUGGGAAGUUCUGCAUCCGUCUGGAUUUGCAUUGUGACCUUGAGUCUGCUGAAUGCAACGGCCGAACCUGAUUCCUAUGGGAUGUGACUGUGGUUGGGCUUAUUCUGGAGAAGAAUAAAAGGUUGUUUUUCCAGCCA